AGUCGAGGGGCAGCGGGGGUGCAGGCUUGCCUGCACCUGCCGGCGACCGGCGCACGGGUGAGUAACACGUAUGGAACCUGCCCGCCACAGGGGGAUAACCCGGGGAAACCCGGCCUAAUACCCCAUGCCGCCCGGACCGGGCAUCCGGACCGGGCGAAAGGAGGAAUCCGGUGGCGGCUGGGCAUGCGGCGCAUUAGCUUGACGGCGGGGUAACGGCCCACCGUGGCGACGAUGCGUAGGGGUUCUGAGAGGAAGGCCCCCCACACUGGAACUGAGACACGGUCCAGACUCCUACGGGAGGCAGCAGUGAGGAAUAUUGGUCAAUGGGCGGAAGCCUGAACCAGCCAAGUCGCGUGAGGGAAUAAGGCCCUACGGGUCGUAAACCUCUUUUGCCGGGGAGCAAGGGCCGGGACGAGUCCCGGUCCGGAGAGUACCCGGAGAAAAAGCAUCGGCUAACUCCGUGCCAGCAGCCGCGGUAAUACGGAGGAUGCGAGCGUUAUCCGGAUUUAUUGGGUUUAAAGGGUGCGUAGGCGGGCUUUUAAGUCAGCGGUAAAAAUUCGGGGCUCAACCCCGUCCGGCCGUUGAAACUGGGGGCCUUGAGUGGGCGAGAAGAAGGCGGAAUGCGUGGUGUAGCGGUGAAAUGCAUAGAUAUCACGCAGAACCCCGAUUGCGAAGGCAGCCUUCCGGCGCCCUACUGACGCUGAGGCACGAAAGUGCGGGGAUCGAACAGGAUUAGAUACCCUGGUAGUCCGCACAGUAAACGAUGGAUGCCAGCUGUCCGGGCCGAAUGGGGCCUGGGUG
rnacentral:rRNA from 1 species